GAGUUCUGUGGCCAGAGACAAGGACGCGGGUGGGAGUCGGGGAGUGAGGAGGCCAUGGGGAAAGAGGGGACGUGAUGGAAAGAAGAGGGGGAGGAUAAGAGAGUGUAGAAGGAGAAGGGAGAUAGGGAUGAAGAUGAGGUAAGGGGGUUGGGAGAGGGAGGGGACAGGUGUAAGUACCGGGUUGGACAAACUCAGAGUACCCACCCUCUGCCCCAGAACUGCACCCCCAUCCCUCCCCACUCCCACACAGAGACUGCCCAGAGGGUGGGGGCCACAGCUUUGGGCCUAGCCUUUCCCUGGGGGCAUGGCCAACCCUGUGGGCUACUCUGAGCCUGUGGGGGGCCUGCAGCAGGGAGCAGGACCCCCUCUCCCCAGCUCAGCCAAGCCCCACGCGGGGCUAACCAGGCUGCCAGGGCCCCCAGCAGAUUACGUAAGGGCUUAUGCCGCCGCGGCUCAUUUGUCCGCCCCCCUCCCUCCCCAGCCUGGCAUGGCGCCAGGAGCCCGAAAACCCAGGGCUCCAGAAAUCAAUCUCGCGGUGACUGAUUAAGCCCUGUUUAGAACUAAUUGCUCUUUCGUGUGUGGGGAGAAUAAAUUACCUGCUUUAAUUUCGUGUCUUUAAAAUGCAACUGCAGGUAGAGAAGACUGUUAACCCUUUGCUGGGAGGGCCUGGCCAGGGGAAACAGAGUAGGCUGGGGGUCCCCAAGGUGGGUCCAGGCCUGAGACUUUUCGGAGGUAUCACCCCAACUCCUCUUAGCUGCUGUGAACUCCGCAGAGGGCUUGGAUUCCAGCAGGCCCCUCAAAAGACAUUCUUUUGCCACAGAGACCUCAGCCUUCACCCUCUUCAGUGCCCGCCUUCAGGCCAGCCCAGCUCUCCUGCCUGCCCUUUGGGCUGCACCCUGCCCUCCUCUCCUGACCCACCUGCCUGCCCUCCAAGCCCCUUCCUGGUGGAGUCUUCUCAAAAUCCCCACAGUGUGUGGCAAAGUCCCCAUUCACACACCAGAAGACCUAGGCUCAGAGAGAGGAAUGGCUUGCCCAAGGUGGCCUUUUCUGCUGUCCCUCGGUUCCUCCCUGGGCUUCACCUCUGCCAUCUCUCCAUACAUCCUCUUUUUAAUUCUGCUGUGCCAGUCUCCGGUGCUCCCCAUGUCACUGCCUGCUUUUGCCAGGCCUGUUCUGAGGACAGAGGAAGGCAGGAAGUCCACUGGCCCCACUGGAAUCUGGAGUAGAACUUCUGCUGGGCCUGCCGCACCCCACCUCUGGGGCCUCCCACCUGGUGGCCUCAACCUCCGGGUCCAGGGUUUCACUCUAGCCCAGACUGGAGUACAGUGGCACGAUCUCGGCUCACUGCAACCUCCACCUCCCAGACUCAAGUGAUGCUCCUGCCUCAGCCUCCCAAGUAGCUGGAAUUACAGCACUCCACGCAGCAGCCAGGGUGACCCUUCAAAUAACCGAGAUCACGUCCAUUCCUGCCCAGAUCCCUCCGACACCCUCCAUCUCAUUCACAGUGAGGAACAAAGGCCUUGCCAUGGCCCACAAGACCCACGGUGAUCAUGCAGGUACCCUGCUCCAUCCCUCCCUCCCAUCCUCAAACCUGCCAGGCACCGUCCCACCUGCCCCCAGAUAUCCACAGAGAUCGCUCCUCUCCUUCCAGUCUUUGUUCAGAUGUCAUCUUUUGGAACGGGGCCCAUCCUGACCUCUCUUAAAAACUGUUCCUCUUCCCUGGAAUUUCUUGGCCCCCUGAUCCUGCUCUAUGUUUUUGUAAAGCAUUUUCACAUUCUAAAUUAAUACAUUAUUUAUCCUAUCUUUAUAUUAGAAUAUAAGCUUCAUGAGGGCAGUGAUUUUUAUCCUUUUUUAAACUGUACCUCAUGUGUUUGGUACAUACUAGACACUUAAAUGUUUGUCAAAUGAAUGAAUGGAUGAAUGAAUAAGAGAAAGUGUGUAUGUGCAAGGAGGAGUAAUACUGUGUUGUAGGGAAAUAGACUGGGCAGAGUGGCUGGCACAUAAUAGGGGCUUUUCCAAACCGGGCAAAAGAAGACACAGGCAGGAUGAGAAGCAGGCAGUGGGGUGAGAAUGUCUGCAGCAGUCUGACCCACUGAGGGGUGCCAG